rnacentral:misc_RNA from 1 species
GCAAACUUGGUCAUUUAGAGGAAGUAAAAGUCGUAACAAGGUUUCCGUAGGUGAACCUGCGGAAGGAUCAUUACAGAGCGUUUAUGCCCCCUUUAUAUGGGGCAGACCUCCAAACCCUUUGUUUUACUUACUUUUUGUUGCUUUGGCGGACCGUAAGGUUUUUUUUUUUCCUUCCAUUGGCUUUGGCUAAUGUGUUUUGUCCGCCAGAGGAAAAUCCUAAAAACUCUUGAUUUUAAAAAUUUGUUUGUCUGAAUUAUUUUAAAAUAAAUUAAAACUUUCAACAACGGAUCUCUUGGUUCUGGCAUCGAUGAAGAACGCAGC